UAUAUUUGUCAUUUCAUGCAUACGAUACAUUGAUUUGUAGAGAUGGAUAAACUGCCCUCUGCAGACGGCUGGCCCUUAAACACCGCUGCCUUGACACGCGGAGAGUUGAGAUAUUUCUCCUCCAACACGGCAGGCAUUCGUUCGGCUAAUACUUAUUCAGCGUCCGCUCUCUGCUAGCAGAGACGUAUGCUAGUGCAGAAUGCAGUGAUGUUCCGUGUGUUUUCUGGGCUGUGGGACCAUCACCAGCAACUCCCGAUCGUUCUCAUCAUUCCUGAGAGAAACUCCAUCCUCGGAGCGUUCCCUCCCGGCGUCUGCCCCAGCCCCCAGCCCCCAGCCGCCGUGAAGCUGCUCUUUGUCUCCGCGGGGCAGUUGAAAAUCUCCUGGGCUUAGCAAAAUCAGAAGGGUGUGUGCAGAUGUGUGCAGACUUCUGUUUCAAGGUCAGGUUGGUAGCCCAGAUGACCUUCAGUUUAUGGAGGUCUUUGUCAGUGCCCUUGCCGUUCCCGCCUAAGCCCAGGAGAUAUGUUUGGAGAACUUGGCAAGUGAAGAGCCCUUCAGAAAUGCGGGGCCUUGAAAAACUCGUUUUGGUCUUCUGGCUCUUAGUUUUCCCUUUGGCAACAUGAUUUUCUCCUUUGACAUUAGAGCAGGACUUGGCACGGUUUCUCCGAAAAAGAUCAGAUAGUACAUAUUUUCAGCUGUGAUGGUUGGUCAGACAGUUUCUGUUGCAACUGACUACUCUGCCUUUGUGGCAGAAAAGCAGCCACCGAUGCUGCGUGACAAGUGGGUGUGGCUGUGUCCCAGUAAAACUGUUUGUGGACCCUGAGAUUUGAAUUUCGUAUCAUUUUCAAUGUCAAAAUAGUCUUAAAAAUUUUUUCAACCAGUUAAAAAAAAAUGUAAGAUUUACUCUUCACUCACAGGCUGCACAAAACCAGGCCUGAGCUGGGUUUGGCCCACGGGAGGAAUGUUGCCAACCUCUGACCUGGGGUAUUCUUUAUGCCGGAAGGUGUUUGGGGUACAAACAUGCCCGCGGAGACAUGCAAAGCAAAACCACCGUGAGAUGUCACCUCACCUGUCGGAAUGGCUGUUAUCAAUAAAAUAAAAGAUAACAGGUGUUGGCACAGAUGUGGAGAAAAGGGAGCCUCCAUCACUGUUGGUGGGAUUGCAAAUUGGUGCCGGCACUAGAGAGAAGAGUAUGAAUGUUCCUCAAAAAAGUUAAGAAUACAUAUAUCAUGUGACCCAGCAAUUCCAAAGAAAACGAAAACACUAAUUUGAAAAGAUAUUCACACCCCUGUGUUCACUGCAGCAUUAUUUCCAACAGCCAAGUCAUGGAAGCAGCCAUCACCAGACAGGGUGGAUAAAGAAGAUGUGGUUCAUGCACGCAACGGAAUAUUAUACAGCCAUAAAAAAACAAUGAAGUCUUGCCAUUUGCAACACCAUGGGUGGGCCCAGAUGGUAUUAGGUAAAUGAAAUAAGUCGGACAGAGAAAGCAAAAACCACAUGACUUCACUUACAUGUGGAAUCUUAAAAAA